rnacentral:rRNA from 1 species
GACGAGCGCUGGCGGCAUGCCUAAUACAUGCAAGUCGAGCGAACAGAUGAAGUGCUUGCACUUCUGACGUUAGCGGCGAACGGGUGAGUAACACGUAAGGAAUCUACCUAUAAGCGGGGGAUAACAUUCGGAAACGGGUGCUAAUACCGCAUAAUAUCUUCUUCCGCAUGGAAGGAGAUUGAAAGACGGCUCUGCUGUCACUUAUAGAUGACCUUGCGGUGCAUUAGUUAGUUGGUGGGGUAACGGCCUACCAAGACGAUGAUGCAUAGCCGACCGGAGAGGGUGAUAGGCAACAUUGGGACUGAGACACGGCCCAAACUCCUACGGGAGGCAGCAGUAGGGAAUCUUCCGCAAUGGGCGAAAGCCUGACGGAGCAAUGCCGCGUGAGUGAAGAAGGCCUUCGGGUCGUAAAACUCUGUUAUAAGAGAAGAACAAAUUGUAGAGUAACUGCUACAGUCUUGACGGUAUCUUAUCAGAAAGCCACGGCUAACUACGUGCCAGCCGCCGCGGUAA